UGAACCUUAUCAUUUAGAGGAAGGAGAAGUCGUA
rnacentral:rRNA from 1 species